rnacentral:snRNA from 1 species
GGAUGUGAGGGCGAUCUGGCUGCGACAUCUGUCACCCCAUUGAUCGCCAGGGUUGAUUCGGCUGAUCUGGCUGGCUAGGCGGGUGUCCCCUUCCUCCCUCACCGCUCCAUGUGCGUCCCUCCCGAAGCUGCGCGCUCGGUCGAAGAGGACGACCUUCCCCGAUAGAGGCGUACCGUUCAUCGGUCAAGGGUAUACGGUAGCUGCGCUCCCCUGCUAGAACCUCCAAACAAGCUCAAGGUCCAUUUGUAGGAGAACGUAGGGUAGUCAAGCUUCCAAGACUGCAGACACAUCCAAGUGAGGCGCUGCACGGGGCAGUCUGCCAUUGUUU